UUUUCUUUUUUCUUUUUUGAAUUGGGUGGUGAGGGUUUUCUUUCCCACAAAGAAUUUUGGGGGCAACGGUUUGCUAGAGCGAACCGUGUGUGAUUGACGCAGCAGGCAAAAUGAUAGUCAUUGCACAUGUUUCCAAUUUUGGGAACCGUGUGUGAUUGAUGUACUACCUCCGUCCUAGUUUAUUGGUCCCCCUUUGUAAAUUUUACCAAAAUUUGGCAAAAUAUUUAACAUACUCGGACAUAGAUAAUAAGCGUACGCGUACAUAAGCAUAGUUCAACCAUAAGUACAUAGUUCAACCAUCAUUAAGCAUACUCAAGCGUACAUAGUUCGAUCCAUCCCACAUCUCAUCUCACACGCGGCCGGCAUGAUCCUGAAGCUUCUCCAGGUACUCAGCGUACGCGCCGUGAGCCACCCUGCGAGAAUACUUCUACUUGAAGGAGCCAACGGCCCGUCCUCUUGCAUGCGCAAGAACACUUAGAUACGCGUCAUGAAUCUUGUGCUUGCAAAAUGGGCAUCCAUAGCUGUCGUUCCAGGUCCUAAUACGCCUGUUAUGUGUGGCACCCUGGCUCAGAGAAACCGGAACGCCUCGUAUUCCAGCCCAGAGAUCGAGGAGAAGUCUCUGGAAUACGGCACUGCUUGACAUAGAAAAAAUCAGCUCUUAUUACAAGAAUAAUAAUUACACGGGUCUGAUGUUACAAUGAUCACAUCAGCAUGGCGACACUACGCCUGCGAUACUACACUUGCUCUAUGCUAGCAGCGGAACAACUAGUAGCAGCGGAAAACUUCUAGCAGCGGAAUAACGAUGAAGGUGGUGAACUCCACUCCGUAGGGACUCUGGCUGGGACACGAUCUAGCUCGCACGCACGGCAACCUCGACAAGCAAUCAAGGCAUCACCUGCAAUCUGGCAUGACACGCCAGGUCAGUACAUUGAAUGUACUUGCAAGCUCACAACAACCAUAAACAUCAAGGCAAGACAAUAACAUAGCAUUAAGCAGGUUAAUUAAAUUUAACAUCUACCAUGAUACGACAGCAACUACUAAGCAUGAUAUCAAACUACUACAAUACUAAUAAAUCACCAUCUCAGAUCUCCAUAACCAUAUCUCUCUUGGCUAACCGGCCAAGCAAUAUACCAUCUCGAUCACCUCGUGAUCAAAACCAAACGGUGAUCUUUCCGGCGAUCACAACCAUGACCAACACUUGGCCUCAACAUUAUCAUCGACACCCUGCCAAUCUGUACUGCUCAAAAUAUAAACAUAUAUAUAUAUAUAUAUAUCACCUAUAAGUCAUUCCGUCAUGUGAGUGUUGAUCGAACGGUGUGACCUAGUACGAACCCAUGCCCAUGACCGAGGACGUGGCUAUCGAUAGAUUUAAAUACACUCUGCAGAGGUAGCGCACUGUACCCACACCACGGAACCCAUGGCCUCGCACUCCCAUUCGAGUGGACGAACGGCGUUUCGACAAAACCGAUCUACUGCCAUGACACUCUCCCGGCCACUCCGACCCACUCCCAACUGGGCUAGUCCUGGGUGGCCCCGUGUCUACCAAAGACACAACGACCACCGUCGUGGCCAAAACGUCCCUCACGGGGACCGGAUCCAUACAACAACAACGGGCACACAAGGUUAUGUCUGCUUACCGGGCCAGGGUAAGCAUGCCCAUAACCUUCCCUAGUUGGAGGCACCGAUGAGAGGCACGACAAUAGACCGCAUUAGGGCCUUCCCAUAAAAGGCAAAUGUGGUUGCACUGGAAAAAGCCCUGUUCGGUGGCACCUGACCAACUUAAUGACGAAAUUUAACCCCAAAAUAUAGUAGUAAUGACUGAUACUCCGAUAUCAUCUAUCAACCUAUAAUCCAAGUCAUAGCAAUAUCCAACAAAUAAUCCAAGCAUAAUCUCAUCAUCUCAAAAUACUCCAAGGGUAGCACAACACUACUGUCAUGAUGAAUCCGAAAACAAUAAUCCUACUACUCCAACAACAAGAAUAAAGCUAUUCGGCUAAGAUCCACAUGUAAACAUCAUCUCCGAAAAUAAUACUCCAAGCAACAGAACAUCAACUAGCAUCAUGAAAAUAAUCAUACUAACCACUAAUAAUCCAAAGGCAGCAUGAUAUCCAAAGUAAUACUCCAAAAUAUAAUAACAGAUACCAUCAUGGAAAUAAUCAUAAUACCAACCACUAAUACUCCAAUGACAACAUGAUACUCAUCAACUGCAAGCAUAACUCCUAGUAAUCCAAACAAUAGCAUGGCAACAACAAGAUCAAAAUAAUACUCCGAGAAAAUGCCAUGCACAAAGUCAUGUAGCUAAAGCAAUAUUUUAAACAAGUUCAAGUAGAUUAAACCAUGUCACUGCAUUACAGUGAUGCAAAUGGAGGGUGUGGCUUGCCUGGGGUGGAAGAAAUCACCGGGAGAAAAUGUGAGAAGCUCGCGGAACGAAUCGCCGGAAAACGUUCUCUCUCGAAGGGGGCUGGUUAAGCGCAAGGGCAAAAUGGUCAUUUUCAGAAUGUCAAAACAUGGUGAAAAUGGUUCCAUCAGAACGGGCUCGAUGAAACGAAGACGUGGGCUUUGGAAUCACCUGAUUUGGAGCUACGGGCAAAAAGAUAUUAAGGUUUUUCUGCCAGGGGCCUAUCUGUAAUGAAAAUAUUUUCAAACAAGGCCUGGUCAGAAAAACAGAAAGCGCAAUUAGAGAAAUACGCUUUCACUGAACUAAAAACGUAAUCUGGGCUGAAGAAGAAACAGAAUGCGCUUUCGGUGGAGGAAAACGUAUUCGUCAGAAUACGUUUUCACUUAUCCACCUCAACAGUUCGGGUCAACGCGGGGACUUACAGGCGGGGCCCGCCACUUAUCCAUGUGGAUAGGGCCGGGUCAGCGCCGGAGUGGCUGCCAGGUGGGGUCGGGGAAAGGAGGGGGCCCGCCUGGCCUCGUCUCCUUCCCCUACCUCCCGCUCGCCCGCGAAGGCAGAGGACGACCGCGGCUGCCGGCGCCCGUUCCGGCGACCUGGGACGUCUCCGGCGAGGCCCAGCACACCGGCGAGAUCGGGAAGACGAGCUGCUCCCGCCUGGAGCAGAAGCAGGCGCCGGGGAGGGGUGUGGCCGUAGCACCGCGUGGUGGCAGAGAACCCAUGACGGCGGCCGGACUAGGGAACUCGCGGCUACGAGCACUCCGGCGCCGAACUGAGGGGUGCGGGAGGGGCUCCGGACUACGGGGAAUCCUCUGGUGGUGGUAGAGUGGAGGGAGAAGGUCGGGCUUGAGCCAAUUUAGGCCGAACCCGAGGCGGAUAUGGCGGCCAUGGAGGAGGAAUGAGGGACUCUGGAGCUCGGUUGACUGGUCGGGGAGGUAGCUAGGAGGGAGUAGAGGAGGCUGGUGAGCUCAGGGGGUCUCGGGGUGGCCUUAUAUAGUCGUGG
rnacentral:lncRNA from 1 species